CCCCCCCCUAAGCAGUUGAUGGUGGUUGCUUUAUGAAGGCAAAGUUAAAAGGACACAAAAAAUUUAUUCAUUCUCUUGCUAUCUUUAUUUAAAGAGCAGGAAUGUGGUGCAUAAGAGCCGGCCCAUUUUUGUUGAGAAUCUGGGUUAUACUUGCUUAUUGGUGGCUAAAUGUCGGCCUUCAAUAAGCAAGCGCUAUCGAUAGUGCUGAACUUAAAAUGGGCUAGUUGCUAAGAUCUACAUUCCUAUGUUAAAAUAAAUAUAGCAAGAGAACAAAAAAUGAAUAGGAGUAAAUUAGAAAGUUGCUUAAUUUCAAUCUGAAUCAUGAGACUAAAAAUUUGGGUUCAGUGUCCCUUUAACUCUAUGAAGCUAUACUGAACUGUAUAUGCAGCUACACAUGGGGGUGUAGAUUUGUUAAAGGCACACUGUACUCCAAAUUUCAUAUAACUAUGCUAUACAAUACUAUAAAGAAUAUGCAGAUACUGAUCUCAAAAUCCAGUAUUAAACUUUUUUUUAAACUAUUAGCUCCCAGUUUAGCACUGAUGGUUAGGCUGGAACACCCAGUGAAGGGGGCUGGGAAAGCUGACACUCCACCCCUGUAUAUGAACAGACAGAUCACACAAACAGGAGCCAGCAGUAGUUUGUAAACACUCGUACAUUUGAUACUUUAGGGCUUGAUUAGGAAAGUGUUACAUAACACUUCCAGAUGGGCUAUAUGAACUUACAAAACAUUUAUGCAAAGAGCAAUAGUCUGUCACUUAAAAGACCUGAAAAUUGCUUCGGGAAAAAUUGAUUAUCAGAUAUAAUGCAGCUAAAUGAUUUAAAGGUACAUUAUACACUAAAUAUAUUCUUUGCAUAAGUGUUUGGUAGAUCCAUUUAUAUAGCAUAUGCAGAUAUUAUUUAAUUUUUGCUUAAUUUUAAAUAACAGUGCAUUGAUUUUCAGACUCCUAACCAAGGUCCAAAGUUUUAGGAGAAUACUGAUUUAUACCUACUCCAGCUUGCUCCUGUUUGUGUCAAGUCUUUUCAUAUGCAGGGGGGGUUGUCUGUUUCCAGCUACUUUUUUUUGUUUUGUUUUUUUUAAAUCUGUAUCUGUGCAUAUUCUUUAUAGUAGUGUCUAUUGCAUGAAAAUUGGUGUAUACUGUCCCUUUGGCACUUGGUAAGUCUUGUUCAUGUUCUAUUCUCCCACAAUGACUUUGUAAAUGUGCUAAGUGCAGGAUGUAGUGUAUAUUUUUUGGUAUUGCGUAGCAUGCCUAGGAUACUGAAUUGAACUUUCAGGGCAAGCACAUGUUUGACUGUGAGUGGCCUGGGUUUCUCGGCACGGCACUGGCUUCAGGCAAACUAUCUUCCCCAGGAGUCAUUUUAUACUUAAUGACCGAAAGUCUUUAUUUGUAGCCCUCAAGGCAGAACAUACAGUGAUCUGAGAUGUCAUUGCAGGAACUGUUAGCCAUAGUGCUUUUACUUUGCGGUUCUACUCUUCAAACAGAGCUGUGUUCUGGCUGCACUGUUCAAGUGUUCCAAUGCAUUAUGAGUAAAGUGCUGUUUGACGUUAACAGACAAAUAUUCAGUAGCACUGUAAAGAAUCAGUUUGCAUUGAUUAUAAACUGUCUUUUUUUUCCCCCCUAAACAUUACCCUAGCCUUUCUCUGAAUGUAAGACAUUCUUAUGAGCAGUGCACCUUUUUACUACAUUUUAGACCAAGAGAAAAGGAAAUUUCAUCGGAGACAUUUUACAAUUUAAUUUGUAUUGAGACACAUUGCAGUGUAACUGCCUAAUUUAAAAUAGAAUUUUAUUUAAAAAUGGCCUGCAGAAAAAUUCACUAAAUCUCAUUGCAGAAAGUAAAAAACCUGAGUUUGUAGCGCAGGAACAAUCACUUUAACUAGAUCCUCUAUAUACAAAUAAACAUCAAGGAUUUUUCCUUUAACAAUAUAAUCUGGAUUGGAAGCAAUGCACUAAUUAGCUACAGGCAUUCAUCUGAAGAUGAGAACAUAUCCUGAUACUUGAUAGCUGUGCUAAAUAAGUUGGCAGACACUUCAUGUAUAAUAGCAAAUGGUGCCUCAUCUAAUCUUGGUAAUGAUGAAUCCUGGCUUCAUUCUCUUUGGCUGUUUAAAGGGAAACUGCAUUAGUUUGCAUGAGCACUCAAAAGUUGUGCUGUGACAAUACGCUUAAAGUCAUGGUAAAUUCUAGUUUCAAAACUGCUACGAUUUACCUUCAGUCAAGAGUUUAAAAUAAAAAUGUGUUUUUUUUGUUUUUUGAUGCAGCUUCCUUGCUAAAUAAACUAUGCUUCUCUGGGUUUUUUUCCUUUAAAAAAAGCUGGCAUGUUUAACUUAAGAACUGGCCCAUUAUAAAAAGGACACUGAACCCAAUUUGUUUCUUUUGGGAUUCAGAGCAUGCAACUUUCUAAUUUACUCCUAUUAAAUUGUCUUCUUUAUCUUUAUUUGAAAUGUAAGUUUAGAUGCUGGCCCAUUUUUGGUGAACAACCUGGGUUGUUCUUGCUGAUUGGUGGAUAAAUGCAUCCACCAAUAAACAAGUGCUUUCCAUGGUCCUGAACAAAAAAUAGCUUAGAUGCCUUUUUCAAAUAAAGCAAGAGAACAAAGAAAAAUUGAUAAUGGGAGUAAAUUAGAAAGUUGUUUAAAAUUGCAUGCUCUAUCUGAAUCACGAAAGAGAAAAAAUUUGGCUUCAGUGUCCCUUUAAGUUCAGCACUCUGGAUAGCGCUUGCUUAUUACAUUUAGCCACCAAUAAGCAAGCAUACCAAAGUUCGUAACGAAAAAUGGGCAGUCUCCUAAGCUUUACAUACCGGUCUUCAAAAUACAAGUAAAUUAGAAAAUUGUCUAAAAUUGCAUGCUCUCUAUGAAUCAUAAAAGCAAAAGUGGGGUUAGUAUCCCUUUAACUAUGCACUUCUACUGUAUUGAGUAGUCCUUUCUUUAAUUUUGAUGUUGCACUAUCUAUAAUUUGUGUCUUUAAAACUUACAGGUAGUGUUUGAAGCUACAGUCCUUGUAGAACUUGUUACUUUUUUCAGAUUUAAAUAGGUUUUACUCAUCUCUAUUUGGAUGCAAGAUGCCUACCGUUGCGUUUGCAAGUCCUCGCAACAGUCAACAAGACUUGUGUGUUCCCUCACUUCCCAGCCACAGCUAAAAUUCAGCUUAGGGAGAACCAUAGUCUGUGCUACUAACACCAGAUAUGCAGCUGAAAUGUGUGGAGCUGCUAGAGGUUUACAGCCCUGACUUGGUAUCCUCAGACUUACAACUGUUCAAAGAAAUAAAGAGCACUAUCUGGAUCUGUGGAUGAGUUGAAAUCACUGAAGAGAUGGUCAAUGCCCUUUCACAGCAUGGGUUAAAUUGUGGCGCACGUGCAUUCAGCACAACCGGGUUUCAUCUUGUAGAAGACUGAAGGAUCUUUGCAAAGUAAAUUACAGCUAAACAGGGCUUUGGCGAGAUACUUCUCAGGGCGCUACGUUAUGGUGCUCAGAAGCUGAUGUAAGUGAUCUGGCAAGAGAUUUAAACAGGUUUUACUCAUCUCCAUUUGGAUGCAAGAUGCCAACCGUUGCGUUUGCAAGUCCUCGCAACAGUCAACAAGACUCGUGUUCCCUCACUUCCCAGCCACAGCUAAAAUUCAGCUUAGGGAAACCAUAGUCUGUGCUACUAACACCAGAUAUGCAGCUGAAAUGUGUGGCGCUGCUAGUAGUUUACAGCCCUGACUUGGUAUCCUCCGACUUACAACUGUUCAAAGAAAUGAAGUGCACUAUCUGGACACAGAUUUGUGGAUGAGUUGAAAUCGCUGUUAAAGAGAUGGUGAAUGCCCUUUCACAGCAUGGGUUAAACAGUGGCGCAUGUGCAUUCAGCACUUAAAGGAAAUUACAGCUAAACAGGGUAUCUGGCAUGGGAUCCUUCUCCGGGUGCUACAUUGUGGUGCUCAGAAGCUGAUGUAAAAGUAAUCUGGCAAGAGGAGUCGUACUGUAACUUGUGAUCUACUCUGAAAUCCUAAGACCUUGAAGUGUAGGAAUUAUCCAUAACUGCUGUCAUUAACUGCAAGAAGUCUAAAGUUAAAUGUUAGAAAUAAAAGUAGGACUGUUAAUGGGGUUACAGCCCUAAGUGGAAUGUGUGGGCAAAUCCUAUGUAAUAUACUUUAAUGCUGUUAUGUUUCCUUUUGUAUCAGACUGUACUCUUCAAAACUAGCUGGUUUGCUGUAUACUGGUCACUGCAUGAGGCUGGGAAUAACAUUUAUAAUCUAUCAUACCCUGGUGAUCACUUUUACCUUCUGUUGUGUAUCAAAUGGCUAAAUAGCACCAAUAAAAACAAGACCUACAGAAAGUUGCAGGCAAUAAUA